UUGUCUCCCUGGCCCUGCUCCUUGGAGGCAAUGGUGGUGCAGGGUAGUGGUGGAGGGGGACGGAGGAGCGCCACCAUGGCGGUGAGGAUGGGGGGAGGGGCCAGGAGGCCAGCAGCGCUGGCCUUGCCCCCGGCUCCUUGGAGGCUACGGCUGAGGGUGGUGGCAGUGCGGUACUGACCUCACCCGCCCCAAGGUCAGCGCCGCACUGCCACCAUCCUCUGCAUCCGCCCCCAGCCCUCAUGAUGAUUCUUGAUGGGCAGUAAUCUAGAAUCACAGUUCACCCUGAUAAAUGGGUAAAAAGAUAACAAAAAGGAUUUAAUUGGGGGGGGGGAGGAAAACCAGUAUAAGAAAUCAGUAACCACCAUAUGUUGAAGUACAGACAAAGAUAGAAGAAUACACAGACCAAAAAGUAUCAGAACAGUAAGCUGUUCUUUCCCUACACCUUAAAUCCUAGAAUGCAGUCCCUAGCUGCCUUCAAUAGGUUAACAGAAACAGCUUCUGUUUCUGACUCUCCUACCAGAGACUUCUGCAAGUUCUUCUGUUAGCUUCUUUACCCAGCCUGCUUCAUUUAUGAAGACAGUAGUACCCUGCUCUUAAAGCAGACUUAAGAACAAUUUCUUAUCUGGGUAUUCACAUAAGUCACUUAUUGGAUUUUUAGGGGCCACACUAUGCAUAUGACUUCCUGCCCUCCCCUCCAAAACGGUUUGUGUUUACCAGAACAGAAAUCUUUUCUAAUCUAAUUAGGACCUGGAGAAUAUGUGUAUCCUUUCGGACAUAGAUUCGUUAAUCCAAUAUAUUGUCUCCCUCAAUUUUUGCUCAGUGGGAAUUGUUCUCCCUCUUUCUAGGCUUUACUCACGCUAAGGUUUUUCCUUUUAAAAUGUAAAUUAAUCAUUGUGCAGGAGGGUCUUUCCAUGAGUAAACACCCAUGUCAGCUGCUGAUUACAACUUUACAGUCUUUCCUUAGAUGCCAAAGAAACUCAUUGUUUAUCACUUGUAGGUCGUAUUGUGCAAUCCUGGCCCUAUUAUAACAUAUAAGAAAUGUGUUGUGGUAUUUGAUAUAAAAUAUUUGUAACAUAAGGACAAUAAGACUAGCUGCAGCUUGAUGUUACCUUUCUAGAAGCUACGCUUGCCAUAUCAGUAAAAUAGGUCAUGCAAGACACCCCGCAAUCCUCCAGAUCAGCAUAGGGGUUCAUGGCAAAAACCUAAGCAUAAUGCAUGUUAUAAGUGUAAGAUUUAUACACAAUUAGGAGACGGGGAAAGUUGUUUAUAUACAGGUAAGGUUGAAGGAAACACUUGUCAUGAUUUUUAGAGGUUACCAUGCUUACCACAGGUAUUGGCAAGCUAAAGAAUCAAGAAUGUGAGGCCACUUCAGGGUCCUCCAGAAUCUUCUGAGAAUUUUCCAGUCUUGCUUUUUAAUUUAAGUGAAGAGUAACUACUGAGUUAAAUAUAUUUGCUGUGUUGCAGUGAAUCUAGGAGAGCUUAAAGUUUUCUGAUGUUCUGGAAUAUAACACUAAUGAAUAAGGAAUUCUUGGUCAUUGUAUAUUUAAAUUCAGUCUGUAGUUAAUGCUUCUCUACACUCUGGAGAAAGCAAUAGUUCUGAAAAAUCUGCAACAGUUUAUUAGUGUGUUUUGUUUUGUUUUUUAACUUUGCAGUAACCACUUCACCAGGAACAGAAAAACCAGAAUGUGGUAAAACUUAAUACCUGAUCUUUUAGGGUUACAUGCAAUGGAAGUGUUGGGGGGGGAUGUCAUAAUUUAAGUGGACAGCCUUUGAUUUGGAAACUUCUUGGUUUUUCUGUCUACAUGAACUAUGUAACCUUCUUUGCAGUUUUGUUUAGGUUGUGGUUACUUCCCUACGUUAGAAGUUCUGACAGCUGUCUCACUUAAGAAAAAUAGCUGUGAAAAUACAAGGUCCAGUUCUGCAUUCACUACACAUCCAAAAUUUGAGUUUCAUUAACUCUGGAUUUCUUGGGUGUUUCAUGGUAUGCAAGACUGCACUCUGUACAUGUGCAGAGACCAAGCAGUCCAUCACAGUUUAUACUUUUUUUUGCACCGGUUUGAUCUACACUUUGUGGAGAUUAAAAAGUGUAUGCUGAAGGGGUCUAGUUCUGCAAGAAGGAGCAGCUGUGACCUACAGACUAUUGUCUGUCUGUCUUCCCUCUUGUUCUGUUUUGCUGUUAAUAUUGGCAUAAUCAAUAAAAGGAUUAUUUCUGUUGAUUUUA